CCGGGCUGAUCUCCGUGUCUGAGCCGUCGUCUGAGAGGUUGCUGUAGCUGGGAGACUGAGCCGGGGAGGUGCUGGAGGUGGUGCUGUGGGCAUCGGAAUCUGGUGGGCAGAACAAAGCGUGAACAAUGGAGGGCUCUUUCUGCAGCCUGCUGAUCUGGCUCGGCCGGGCUUUCUUGGAGAUGGACUUUAUCUUCUUGGGCCUGGAAGUUAUCUUUAGACUGGGACCUCCUCUGGCAUCAACCACCUUCAUGGAGGAGAGACGUACUGAAUGAGUUUACACAGGCAAAAGUGUAAUCUCCACAGCACAUGGAGACCUGAACUGCGGCAAACUGCGAGCCGCGCCCCCCAGACUGAGACUGGCUUCUUCUUCAUCCUGCCAUCAUCAUCAGUCCUCCAGGUCCUCUACAGAGAGCCCGCAGAGAGCAGGGAACA